CUUCGCUUCGUGUCGCUGUUAACUUUUAUUUUCGUAAAUGAUUCUCCCCAGCUUCUUCUUGUUCCUCUACAAAAGCAGCAGCAUUAAAAAUAAUAAAAAGAAAAACAACAUAAAUGUUUGUUUGUAUGUGUGUUGAAACAUAAAAAAGAGUGUGUGUGUAUAUAUAUGUGGAUAUUUUCAACGAUUUUUAUGGCUGUAAGGAUUUCUACAACUACAAAAUUUGAACGUGGAAAAAUAGAAUAAAAUCUCAACGACAACUUUUAGCCAAUUAAAAUACUGUGAAUAAUUGAAAAUCAAUUAAAUAUUCAUUAGCUAAUAAAUUAAAACAAAAAUACAAAAGAAAAAAA